UACGUAGGGGGCUAGCGUUAUCCGGAAUUACUGGGCGUAAAGGGUGCGUAGGUGGUUUCUUAAGUCAGAGGUGAAAGGCUACGGCUCAACCGUAGUAAGCCUUUGAAACUGGGAAACUUGAGUGCAGGAGAGGAGAGUGGAAUUCCCAGUGUAGCGGUGAAAUGCGUAGAUAUUAGGAGGAACACCAGUUGCGAAGGCGGCUCUCUGGACUAUAACUGACACUGAGGCACGAAAGCGUGGGGAGCAAACAGG
rnacentral:rRNA from 1 species